AGAAGGUGGGUCACUAGAGAUAAAUACCCUUCAUUCUGGAGAGGAGAAGGUGGGUCACUAGAGAUAAAUACCCUUCAUUCUGGAGAGGAGAAGGUGGGUCACUAGAGAUAAAUACCCUUCAUUCUGGAGAGGAGAAGGUGGGUCACUAGAGAUAAAUACCCUUCAUUCUGGAGAGGAGAAGGUGGGUCACUAGAGAUAAAUACCCUUCAUUCUGGAGAGGAGAAGGUGGGUCACUAGAGAUAAAUACCCUUCAUUCUGGAGAGGAGAAGGUGGGUCACUAGAGAUAAAUACCCUUCAUUCUGGAGAGGAG